GCUUAGAAGCAGCCACCAUUAAAAGAGUGCGUAAUAGCUCACUGGUCAAGUGAUUCCGCGCCGACAAUGUAACGGGGCUCAAGCACAGCACCGAAGUUCUAUCAUUCACACAUUAUCCCGGUCGCAAGAUCCAGGAGUGUGGAUGGGUAGGAGAGCGUCGUGUCACUGGUGAAGCGGCAGAGGAAUCUAGCCGUGGAAGUUACACGAGUGAGAAUGUAGACAUGAGUAGCGAGAGAGGGGUGAGAAACCCCUCCGCCGAAAGACCAAGGGUUCCUGGGCCAGGCUAAUCCGCCCAGGGUAAGUCGGGACCUAAGGCGAGGCCGUCAGGCGUAGUCGAUGGACAACUGGUUGAUAUUCCAGUACCCGCUUUAAAUCGCCCAUAACGAAUCCACUAAUGCUAAGACUUUGAAGUUGGUGCGGCUUUUGUCGUACUGAUGGAGCGGUCGAACCGGUGUGGUAGUAGUUCAGCAAUGGUGUGACACAGGAAGGCAGUCCAGCCCGGGCGAUGGUUGUCCCGGGGUAAGGUCGUAGGGCGUUACGUAGGCAAAUCCGCGUAACACAUGCCUGAGAGCUGAUGCCGAGCCGUAAGGCGAAGUGGAUGAUCCUAUGCUGUCAAGAAAAGCAUCUAGCGAGAAUUAUUGCGGCCCGUACCCGAAACCGACACAGGUGGUCAGGUAGAGAAUACCAAGGCGAUCGAGAGAAUCAUGGAUAAGGAACUCGGCAAAAUGCCCCCGUAACUUCGGGAGAAGGGGGGCCCUUCGACGUGUAGGAAUUUACUUCCGAAGCGUUGGAAGGCCGCAGAGACCAGGCUCAAGCGACUGUUUACCAAAAACACAGGUCCGUGCGAAGUUGCAAAACGAUGUAUACGGACUGACGCCUGCCCGGUGCUGGAAGGUUAAGGGGACUGGUUAGCCGCAAGGCGAAGCUGAGAACUUAAGCCCCAGUAAACGGCGGUGGUAACUAUAACCAUCCUAAGGUAGCGAAAUUCCUUGUCGGGUAAGUUCCGACCUGCACGAAUGGCGUAACGACUUGAGCGCUGUCUCAUCCGUGAACUCGGCGAAAUUGCAUUACGAGUAAAGAUGCUCGUUACGCGCAGAAAGACGGAAAGACCCCGGGACCUUUACUAUAUCUUGAUAUUGGUGUUCGGAACGGUUUGUGUAGCAUAGGUGGGAGACUUUGAAGCGGGCACGCCAGUGUUUGUGGAGUCAUCGUUGAAAUACCACUCUGAUCGUUUUGAACUUCUAACCUCGGUCCGUAAUCCGGAUCAGGGACAGUGUCUGGUGGGUAGUUUGACUGGGGCGGUCGCCUCCUAAAAAGUAACGGAGGCGCUCAAAGGUUCCCUCAACCUGGUUGGUAAUCAGGUGUCGAGUGUAAGUGCACAAGGGAGCUUAACUGUGAGACAGACAUGUCGAGCAGG
rnacentral:rRNA from 1 species